AAAUUUUAGAGAGUUUGAUCCUGGCUCAGGACGAACGCUGGCGGCGUGCCUAACACAUGCAAGUCGAACGGAACUUUUUUAAAGGAUUUCUUCGGAAUGAAUUUGAUUAAGUUUAGUGGCGGACGGGUGAGUAACGCGUGAGUAACCUGCCUCUGAGAGGGGAAUAACAUUCUGAAAAGAAUGCUAAUACCGCAUAAUAUAUAUUUAUCGCAUGGUAGAUAUAUCAAAGAUUUAUCGCUUAGAGAUGGACUCGCGUCCGAUUAGUUAGUUGGUGAGGUAACGGCUCACCAAGACCGCGAUCGGUAGCCGGACUGAGAGGUUGAACGGCCACAUUGGGACUGAGACACGGCCCAGACUCCUACGGGAGGCAGCAGUGGGGGAUAUUGCGCAAUGGGGGAAACCCUGACGCAGCAACGCCGCGUGAAGGAUGAAGGUCU
rnacentral:rRNA from 1 species